rnacentral:lncRNA from 1 species
CUCUAUCAAUAAAGUUGUUAACUCUCCUGAUGUUUGGCAUGUAUGGUUAGGAUAUUAUUCCUAUAAAAUUUUAAAAUUAGUAUCUUUUCUUGCCAAUAAAUAUUUUGAUUUCUUAAAUAAUUGUCGUGAUAUCUAUUAUCACACCAAGAAAACGGGCAAAUCCUUUUCUCUUAGUAGUAAUAAAUCUUUGAUUUUUUUUUAAUUCAUGUUGAUAUUUGGGGACUGUACCAUAUUCUAUCACACAC